UACAGAGGGUGCGAGCGUUAAUCGGAAUUACUGGGCGUAAAGCGUGCGUAGACGGUUGCAUAAGUCGGAUGUGAAAUCCCCGGGCUCAACCUGGGAAUUGCAUUCGAGACUGUGUAGCUGGGGUGCGGAAGAGGGAAGCGGAAUUUCCGGUGUAGCGGUGAAAUGCGUAGAUAUCGGAAGGAACACCUGUGGCGAAAGCGGCUCACUGGACCAUUACUGACGCUGAGGCACGAAAGCUAGGGGAGCGAACGGG
rnacentral:rRNA from 1 species